rnacentral:rRNA from 1 species
AGUCGUCACGGGGGAGAAUGKAGCUUGCUCCCUUAUCACUAGACGGCGGACGGGUGAGUAAUGCUUAKGAAUCUGCCUAUUAGUGGGGGACAACAUAUCCGAAAGGAAUGCUAAUACCUGCAUACGCCCUACGGGGGAAAGCAGGGGAUCUUCGGACCUUGCGCUAAUAGAUGAGCCUAAGUCAGAUUAGCUAGUUGGUGGGGUAAAGGCCUACCAAGGCGACGAUCUGUAGCGGGUCUGAGAGGAUGAUCCGCCACACUGGGACUGAGACACGGNCCAGACUCCUACGGGAGGCAGCAGUGGGGAAUAUUGGACAAUGGGCGAAAGCCUGAUCCAGCCAUGCCGCGUGUGUGAAGAAGGCCUUUUGGUUGUAAAGCACUUUAAGCGAGGAGGAGGCUACUUGGAUUAAUACUCUAGGAUAGUGGACGUUACUCGCAGAAUAAGAACCGGCUAACUCUGUGCCAGCAGCCGCGGUAAUACAAAGGGUGCGAGCGUUAAUCGGAUUUACUGGGCGUAAAGCGUGCGUAGGCGGCUUUUUAAGUCGGAUGUGAAAUCCCUGAGCUUAACUUAGGAAUUGCAUUCCAUACUGGGAAGCUAGAGUAUGGG